rnacentral:rRNA from 1 species
AGCAGCCGCCAGGGAAUACAGAGGGUGCGAGCGUUAAUCGGAUUUACUGGGCGUAAAGCGUGCGUAGGCGGCUUUUUAAGUCGGAUGUGAAAUCCCUGAGCUUAACUUAGGAAUUGCAUUCGAUACUGGGAAGCUAGAGUAUGGGAGAGGAUGGUAGAAUUCCAGGUGUAGCGGUGAAAUGCGUAGAGAUCUGGAGGAAUACCGAUGGCGAAGGCAGCCAUCUGGCCUAAUACUGACGCUGAGGUACGAAAGCAUGGGGAGCAAACAGGAUUAGAUACCCGAGUAGUCCCUGUCUCUUAUACA